rnacentral:rRNA from 1 species
AAAAAAGCGGAGGAAAAGAAACUAACAAGGGAAUAGCAGGUAACGGCGAGUGAGGCGGUAUACUGCCAAAUUUGUAAUCUGGCUCUUUUAUAAGGGUCCGAGUUGUAAUUUUGAGAACUGUUUUCCGUGCUGGACCAUGUACAAGUCUGUUGAAAAACAGCAUCAUUGAGGGUGAUAAUCCCGUACUUGAUAUGGUCUACCAGGGCAAUGUGAUACAGUCUCUAAGAGUCGAGUUGUUUGGGAAUGCAGCUCAAAGUGGGUGGUAAAUUCCAUCUAAGGCUAAAUAUAGGUGAGAGACCGAUAGCAAACAAGUACCGUGAGGGAAAGAUGAAAAGAACUUUGGAAAGAGAGUUAACAGUACGUGAAAUUGUUAAAAGGGAAACAUUUGAAGUUAGACUUGUUAUUGUUGGUUCAGCUCUUUUUAUAAGGGUGUAUUCCAAUGGUUAACAGACCAGCAUCAAUUUUUGGGUGUUAGAUAAGGGUCUUGAGAAUGUAGCAACCUCGGUUGUGUUAUAGAUCUUGACUUGAUAUAAUGCUUAGGAUUGAGGAACGCAGUGAGCUUCUUUUGAAGUGGAUCCUCUUGGGGAAGCGAAUCCUACGGACGUCUGUAAUUUGGCUUUAAAUGACCCGUCUUGAAACACGGAC